ACUCCUACGGGAGGCAGCAGUGAGGAAUAUUGCACAAUGGAGGAAACUCUGAUGCAGCAACGCCGCGUGGAGGAUGACGCAUUUCGGUGUGUAAACUCCUUUUAAGAGGGAAGAUUAUGACGGUACCUCUUGAAUAAGCACCGGCUAACUCCGUGCCAGCAGCCGCGGUAAUACGGAGGGUGCAAGCGUUACUCGGAAUCACUGGGCGUAAAGGGUGCGUAGGCUGACUUUUAAGUCAGGCGUG
rnacentral:rRNA from 1 species